GGAGAGGUGGCCGAGUGGUCGAAGGCGGCUCCCUGCUAAGGAGUUGAGCGGGUUUUCCCCGCUCCGAGGGUUCGAAUCCCUCCCUCUCCG
rnacentral:tRNA from 1 species